CGCGAGCCACCACGAAAGUUGCCGCGCGCGGUGACGUCAUCACGCACUCGCGAGCCACCACGAAAGUUGCCGUGCGUGGUGACGUCAUCACGCACUCGUGAGCCACCACGAAAGUUGCCGUGCGCGGUGACGUCAUCACGCACCGAGCCCAUUGCCGCCAAAACUCCUCCCGCCGCGCGUUUCGUCAUGGGCGACGGUUGUUUCUCAGUCGUGACAUCACAAACAGUGUGGAGGAGACAGGAGUUGAACUUGGAUGAGGGCUGCAGUGUUGCUGACGCCAGUGAGAAAAACCACGGAGUUUUCACUUUUCCAAUGUUCAGAAAAAAACGUGACGAUGUUCAGUUGCCACAAAAAGUGAUUUCUGGACAGGUGCUGGAUACAUGUACAGAUGGUGCACUGAACGUCGAUUCACUUUCAAAUAGACGCUUCACGUUUUCCAUGAACCCACACGAUUUGCCUCAUCCAAGCAAAAUUAUGGGUCGCCGGAGCAGCCGUAAAAAAUCUGCAAUGACCUCGAAUAACACUUUGGGGCACAAAUACGAUGGGUCAAUGCAGACUCCGUUUGCAGAUCUCAAGAGCAAGCAGGCACAGCUGGAUACGAUACAAAUAACUCCCUGCCUUCCUGUUAAUGCAACCAACACUGAGGAUGGAAAUAAUGACAAGGCUAAACUGUGGAGCUUCAUGAUGAACAGGGAUGGUACGGCACAGGAUAAUGGUGCAAUUGCCGAGCAAGACCACCGGACAGCAGCCACGAUGCCGAGUAAGCAGUUCAAAUGGUGUGCGCAUGGUAAACCUUUCAAUGGAGAGAGUACUAUUUGGUGUGAAGUGGAGAGAAGUCCGCCUUUCGUGGAGGCAAGGCCGACACGUCAGCCUCAUUCCAUGGAAUCCUUCCUCGCAGCCAAUAUGUAUAGCAGGGUUGAGGAGUAAAACACCAUGAUUCAGCUCUCUCCAGUACCGAACACAGCUGUAAGACCAAUCAUAAGUUGGCGUAUUGCCUAAGUGUUUAUACCUGGUUACCUUGAUUUAUUGUAUGGUAAUUAUGCACUUAGUAAGGGUACUUUGUUUUUUAAAGUGAACCAACUGAAAUUAGUUACCAGUGUUCCUCAUUGUAUUGGAGAGUAGUUACACUUGAUGCUUUCCUUUUGUUGUUUACUUAAUAUGUAUAUUUAUGAGCUUGUGAUGCACUUAGAGGUGGUACAGUAAGAUAUGGCGAUAUGAUGAAAAUGUGACUAUGAAACAGGUUCCCAUGCAGCAAUGUUAUCCAAACUCCUUCGCAUGACACAUAAGUACAUGAACUGCACACAAGUGCUUAUAUGGUGAGUUUUAUUUAUUUAUUUAAAAAGUAUUCUACAUAUUUAUACACAUUUAGUAACUUAACUCAUUCACUGCAUUGUAAAGGUGUGAACAUUUAAAAAUGAAUACAUGACUUAACUUAUUUUUAUAAAAAAUGAGUACCAAAAAUGUAAAAUUUUAAGUUGAAGAAAAUACCAUAUUGAAAUACAUUACAUUCACAUCUGUCAUGCCAAUACAGAAUUACAGGUGCUGUACAAUAGAAUAUAUAAAAUAAGUGUUCUGAUUUACUGCACGUUAAAUAGUUUUGGAAAAUGUUUAACUCUACUCAACUUUACAGUUAUAAAUUCAUUUCUGCAGACAUUUUAAAUGAAUUCAGAUAUGAAAAAAAGAAGAAAAAAUUAAAAACUUUAACAAACAUUAACAAUUUCACUUGUUAUUUGUGCACAGAGAACACAAUUGAAAGUGUGUUCAAACAGGCGUAUGCCAAACAUUUGCCAUGUAUGUGUAAUCUUGGGUAUAGUACAUGAAUACCCAAUGUGUGAAGCAGGACUCGACACUUAAAAUCUGUCAUUCUAUGAGCCAUUCAAUUAUAGUGUAAAAUCAAAUGUGAAGUUUAUCAGCAUUCCAAAACAUUUCUACCAUUUAUAAAGCAACACAAUUAAACCCACUCUUGAGAAGCAAAGCUCUGCUAUGUAGCAGUCAAUUACAUGAAAGGAUGUCACUGUUAUUUUGAGUUAUAUAUCCACACGUGAAUAAAGCUUUAAAAGUU